GUCACCCUUCUUGAAUGAAUAUUGAAGACUCUUUACUUACUACUCCACCCACCUUCUCUGGCUGGGAGCAAUGAGUGAUGGACAGGCAUAAGUGUGUGAAUGCAAUAUAUGUGUAAUAGAAGGUUAAAAACCAAAAACAGGAGGGAAGAGGAGAUGGAAGGAAUUUCAGACUCCUCAGGAGAGGCAUUCCAGCUGGUGUGGACUGUGCUACAUCCUUCCUGGAUGCUGCAGUGCAUUCCUUUGUUUCCUCUGACCAGACAUUUUCUUUUGUUUAGUCCGUCAGUGCCCUGCAAAGUAUGUGGUACCUCCUCAGCAAUGUGGAAUGCAUUGCACAGUCUUCAUCUUCCAGCUCUGAAGUCUCCCCAGAUUUAACAUUUUUAUCACAUGCUGCUCUUUACUCACUGUGUUAAAAGAACUAUUAAUUAUUGGUUUUAAUUUCUCUUAUUCAGCACUGAGAAGUCAGCUAAAUUAAACUUUGGUGGAAGCCAAACUAACUUCAUGCAUAUUUAUUCUUCAUCACCAUAAAUGCAGCAGGGUGGCACCCUGGGAGCAACAGCACAGAUUCUAGCACUUCACCCAGCAGGGACCAGGACUUCUAAAGAGAUUGCCUGGAGUCAGUAAUUAUUGUCCACAAAGGAACACACUGGUUUACAGAUUUUGCAUCUACUGUACUGUGCCUAGUACUGUGUUAGUACUGGGAAUUCACUGUGUAUCAUGCAAUGUGAAUUUUAAACAUUGGACAUUUGACUUCUCUGUGUAUGUAUGUAUGUGUAUGCUCUACCCUGAAGCCACCUUUAUUCAUCCCUCCAAAAAUGUAUAAACUUCCCUCUCAGCUUUCAUCUAAGCUUGUCCUCUCCCAGGGGUAUUUUGCCUUUGAAGCUUACCCUUAACUUUCUAGCCUUUUUUUUUUUUCCAAUGGAGAUCUCCAUACACUUCCAUAUUUUUAGAGCAAGGAUUCUUCUGGCCUGCUGUUGGAGCAGGCAGUACAACUUUGUACUGUAAGACAAGUUUGCACAUUACCAUGUUCUUUUCCAAUCAGGAUUCAAGAACAUCACUACUAGGACAAAUAUUAAAGAAGGAGCCUAGAGUCAGUGGUGACGGGCCAUGAACCAGGCUCCUUUCAGGGAACAAGAAAUUAACAGUUCCUCCCAAGAUUUUAGUAAGAAGACUAUUUGUUCACAGGAGUAAAGCAGAACUUGCUUGAUAAAUCCACAUAUUGCAGGUGAUGGUGCCCACUUGAUCUUUAGUGAAAUUUCCUGGCAAGCGUUCCUGCAGCUUUGAGUUCAACUCCAGGAGAUGGAAGCAUGGCUCCUUGUUGGUCUGCUGUUGGACUGGCUUGUGACUAAGGAGGCUUGAGAAGUGGAAAAUAAAAUUAGAGUGAGUGUACA
ensembl:lncRNA